GGGACCAAUUGGUGAAAAUGGAACAACUGGGGAGUCUGGAUUGGAAGGAAUAAAGGGAUUUCCUGGACAAGCAGGAUCUCCUGGUAUCCAAGGGCCUGUGGGAAACAGUGGCAAACCUGGCAACACAGGUCUAAAGGGAGCACCAGGAAGUCCAGGAGUCAAAG